rnacentral:rRNA from 1 species
GAUGAACGCUGGCGGCGUGCCUAAUACAUGCAAGUCGAGCGAACGGACGAGAAGCUUGCUUUUCUGAUGUUAGCGGCGGACGGGUGAGUAACACGUGGAUAACCGACCUAUAAGAAUGGGAUAACUUCGGGAAACCGGAGCUAACACCGGAUAAUAUUUUGAACCGCAUGGUUCAAAAGUGAAAGACGGUCUUGCUGUCACUUAUAGAUGGAUCCGCGUUGCAUUAGCUAGUUGGUAAGGUAACGGCUUACCAAGGCAACGAUGCAUAGCCGACCUGAGAGGGUGAUCAGCCACACUGGAACUGAGACACGGUCCAGACUCCUACGGGAGGCAGCAGUAGGGAAUCUUCCGCAAUGGGCGAAAGCCUGACCGAGCAACGCCGCGUGAGUGAUGAAGGUCUUCGGAUCGUAAAACACUGUUAUUAGGGAAGAACAUAUGUGUAAGUAACUGUGCACAUCUUGACGGUACCUAAUCAGAAAGCCACGGCUAACUACGUG